rnacentral:rRNA from 1 species
UGGCGACGGGUGAGUAACGCGUGGGUAACCUGCCCUGUACAGGGGGACAACAGUUAGAAAUGACUGCUAAUACCGCAUAAGCGCACAGGACCGCAUGGUCCGGUGUGAAAAACUCCGGUGGUACAGGAUGGACCCGCGUCUGAUUAGGUAGUUGGCGGGGUAACGGCCCACCAAGCCGACGAUCAGUAGCCGACCUGAGAGGGUGACCGGCCACAUUGGGACUGAGACACGGCCAAACUCCUACGGGAGGCAGCAG